rnacentral:rRNA from 1 species
GAUGAACGCUGGCGGCGUGCCUAACACAUGCAAGUCGAGCGGACGGACGCGUUGCUUUCUUCUCUGAUUUUAGCGGCGGACGGGUGAGUAAUACGUGGAUAAUCUACUUCUAAGACUUGGAUAACUUCCGGAAACCGUAGUUACUACCGCAUAAUAUUCUGAACCGCAUGCUUCAAAAGUGAAAGACGGUCUUUGUUUCACUUAUAGAUGGAUCCGCGCUGCAUUAGCUAGUUGGUAGGGUAACGGCGUACCAAGGCAACGAUGCAUAGCCGACCUGAGAGGGUGAUCGACCACACUAGAAGUGAGGCACGGUCCAGACGACUACGAGAGGCAGCAGUAGGGAAUAUUCCGCAAUGGGCGGAAGCCGGACGGAGCAGCGACGCGUGAGUGAUGAAGGUCUUCGGAUCGUAGAAAUCUGUUAUUGGGAGAGAACAUAUGUGUAAGUAACUGUGCGCAUCUUGACGGUACCUAAACAGAAAGCCACGGCUAACUACGUG